CGCGAAAACCCCGAAAGGGGUUAGUAGAGUGGCAAACGGGUGAGUAACACGUGGGUGACCUGCCUUCGAGCGGGGGAUAACGUCCCGAAAGGGACGCUAAUACCGCAUGACAUCCUGCCCUUGAACGGGUGGAGAUCAAAGCCGGGGAUCCGCAAGGACCUGGCACUUGAAGAGGGGCCCGCGCCUGAUUAGCUAGUUGGUGAGGUAACGGCUCACCAAGGCGACGAUCAGUAUCCGGCCUGAGAGGGCGGACGGACACACUGGGACUGAGACACGGCCCAGACUCCUACGGGAGGCAGCAGUGGGGAAUUGUUCGCAAUGGGCGCAAGCCUGACGACGCAACGCCGCGUGGAGGAUGAAGAUCUUCGGGUCGUAAACUCCUUUCGAUCGAGACGAACGGCCUCCGGGUGAACAAUCCGGAGGAGUGACGGUACCGAGAGAAGAAGCCCCGGCUAACUCCGUGCCAGCAGCCGCGGUAAUACGGGGGGGGCAAGCGUUGUUCGGAAUUACUGGGCGUAAAGGGCUCGUAGGCGGCCAACUAAGUCAGACGUGAAAUCCCUCGGCUUAACCGGGGAACUGCAUCUGAUACUGGAUGGCUUGAGAUUGGGAGAGGGAUGCGGAAUUCCAGGUGUAGCGGUGAAAUGCGUAGAUAUCUGGAGGAACACCGGUGGCGAAGGCGGCAUCCUGGACCAACACUGACGCUGAGGAGCGAAAGCCAGGGGAGCAAACGGGAUUAGAUACCCCGGUAGUCCUGGCCCUAAACGAUGAAUGCUUGGUGUGACGGGUAUCGAUCCCUGUCGUGCCGAAGCUAACGCAUU
rnacentral:rRNA from 1 species